GGAUGUGAGGGCGAUCUGGCUGCGACAUCUGUCACCCCAUUGAUGGCCAAGGUUGAUUCGGCUGAUCUGGCUGGCUAGGUGGGUGGCCCCUUCCUUCCUCAUCGCUCCAUGUGCAUCACUCCCGAAGAUGCAUGCUCGGUCGAAGAGGACGACCAUCCUGAUAGAGGAGGACUGGUCAAGGAUAUACGAGUAGCUGCACUACCUUGCUAGUACCUCCAAACAAGCUCUCAAGGUUCAUUCACUAUCACUUGUUGUAUCUUUAGCCUUAUGGCUAAUUUUUUUAUAUUAAUUGUAAGCUGACAAAAUUCUAAUAUUAAAU
rfam:Dipodomys ordii contig_10797, whole genome shotgun sequence.